rnacentral:lncRNA from 1 species
UCGGAUCGUCAAAGUCGACUUCCACCAAAGCGAAAUCCACCAUCUCAUCGAAAGACGGGACACCUUUGCCUCUAUCAAUUCCAGCUAGCUCCGUUCGUCUUUUGUUGUUGCAGGAGGCGCAUGGAGGAGGAUUAAUGGGACACUUUGGCGUGAAGAAGACGGAGGACGUACUUGCUACACAUUUCUUUUGGCCAAAGAUGAGACGGGAUGUUGAGCGUUUUAUUGCUCGAUGCACUACAUGUCAAAAAGCUAAGUCACGACUCAAUCCUCAUGGUUUAUAUAUGCCUUUGCCUGUACCUAGUGUUCCUUGGGAGGAUAUAUCUAUGGACUUUGUUUUAGGUUUACCUCGAACAAAGAAGGGGAGGGAUGGCAUAUUUGUUGUCGUGGAUAGAUUCUCGAAAAUGGCACACUUUAUACCAUGUCAUAAAAGCGAUGAUGCUGUUAAUGUUGCUGAUUUGUUCUUUCGUGAAAUUAUUCGCUUGCAUGGUGUGCCAAAUACUAUUGUUUCAGAUCGUGAUACUAAAUUUCUUAGCCACUUUUGGAGAUGUUUAUGGGCUAAGUUGGGGACUAAAUUGCUUUUUAGUACUACUUGUCACCCCCAAACUGAUGGACAAACUGAAGUAGUCAAUAGAACGUUGUCUACUAUGCUUAGGGCUGUUUUGAAGAAUAAUAAGAAAAUGUGGGAGGAAUGCUUGCCUCAUAUUGAAUUUGCUUAUAAUCGUUCAUUGCAUUCUACUACUAAGAUGUGCCCUUUUGAAGUUGUGUAUGGUUUCCUACCUCGUGCACCUAUUGAUUUGUUGCCUCUUCCAUCUUCGGAGAAGGUUAAUUUUGAUGCUAAACAACGUGCUGAAUUGAUUUUAAAAAUGCAUGAGUUAACUAAGGAAAACAUUGAGCGCAUGAAUGCUAAAUAUAAACUUGCUGGAGAUAAGGGUAGAAAACAUGUUGUGUUUGCACCUGGAGAUCCUUUUUGGUUACAUUUGCGUAAGGAUAGAUUUCCUGAUUUGUGCAAAUCGAAGUUAAUGCCACGUGCUGAUGGUCCCUUUAAGGUGUUAGAAAAAAUAAAUGAUAAUGCAUAUAAACUGGAGCUGCCUGCAGAUUUUGGGGUUAGUCCCACUUUUAACAUUUUAGAUUUGAAGCCUUAUUUGGGUGAGGAAGAUGAACUUCCGCCGAGGACGACUUCAUUUCAAGAAGGGGAGGAUGAUGAGGACAUCAAUACAACUGUUACACCCACAGCCCCUGCUGCUAUACAUACUGGACCAAUUACUAGAGCUCGUGCACACCAACUAAAUUACCAGGAACUUUCGUUUCUUCGUAAUGAUUCUAAUGUUCAUGAGAAUAUGAUGCUGCCUAAAUUGGAUACAUUUGUUUUGCUUACAAAUGAAGGGCCUAGCUUGGAGAAGGAUGAACAUUGGAGCAAGAACAAGCAUGGAGAUGAUGGCAUGCACAAGGGGAACAAGAACGGAGUUACAAGUGAUGAUUUCAGGACUUUGAAGCCACCAUAAUGGGUGCAUGAAGCCUUGGACGAAAUAUACAAGAUGCCACUUCAUAAAUUUCGUCCCGAGGCUAUUUUAGGUGCUGCGUCACCUUAUUAUUGGGCCAGGCCCAUGUAAUUUUGAAAUACAUAAGUAUAGGCUAUUUUUAGAGUCCUUAUGUGUGGGGAAACAAGAGAUAGGGUUGAUUUCGGACCCCUCCACCAAGGGCCACGAAAUUCCCCCCCUCUUCCUCCAUAUAUACAGCCCUUAGGGCAUCGUUUAGACUUUGGGUUUUGUUUAGAAUAAAAGUUCGCCAUAGCUGCAACUUCGCGUACUUCGUUUGUGUUCAACGACCAGACAAAGGCGUCACAGAACCCCACCUUGAUCAAUAAAGCUUUCAUCUUAUAUUCGCAAUAUCCAGAUUGCAAUCUUAGUUUCUUGCUUGUUCUUCGUUUGCUCGCAGGAAACAGACCCUCAUGGUCAGGUUGAUCGUGCUCCGGCGUGGUCAAUAACCUCUCGGAGUUGGUUUAGCGAUUGCUAAGGCGCGACGUCCUCGCACGUUCGUAGUCGGAUCGUCAAAGUCGACUGCCACCAAAGCGAUAUCCAUCAUCUCAUCGAAAGACGGGACACCUUUGCCUCUAUCAGUAUGCUCAACUCGUAUAGUGCCGGAGUCACUUAGCCAUUGGACCUUGUAGGGGUGCGGGUGCUUCCUCUUGACCAAUUGAAGCUUGGAGCAUAAUUCUUCACUUGCCAAGUUGUGGCAACUACCUCCAUCGAUGAUGACCUUGACGGACUUUCCAUUGAUGCCGGCCUUUGUGUGGAAGAUGUGGCAUCUUUGGUCUUCUUCUUGUUGAUGUUGAAGUGUCAAGACUUUGGAGACAACGAGAGCGGGGCUCGAAUCCUCAUCACAAAAGACUUGAUCAUCUUCAUCUUUGUUCACGCGCUGGUGCAUGGCCACUUGCUCAAGGGCUUCCAUCUCCUCUUCACUCAUUGAGUCAUAUGUGCCGUCGUCGUUGAGGAUCAUGGUGCACUUAUUCGUGCAUUCAUAUGACUUGUGGCCUCGGCCGCCGCAAGUGAAACACUUGAAGGAGCUUGUUUUGACGGUCUCAUCGGUCGGAGUAGAUGAUGAAGCACGCGGCUUGAAGUUGCUUGUAGUAGGAGGAAGACGACUUGAACUUGUCGGAUUUUUCUUGUAACUUGACUUGUCGUCGUUGCUUGGAGAAGGUUUGGUUGACGUAGAUGUUGGAGGAGUCGUUGAAGCUUGGAUGUUGGAGAAGCCGUAGGUCUUGGAUGAGUACUUGGCGUACUUGAAGUCAUCUUGCACUUGACGUUCUGCCUUGGUUGCUUGAUGCACGAGCUCAAUGAGGUUGGAAUAUGGUUUUAAGUCGGCGAUCUUCUUGAUGGGAUGAUUGAGUCCAUUCAAGAAACGUGCCAUUGUUUGCUCAUCAUCUUCCUUGACAUUGGCUCGAAUCAUGGCUAUCUCCAUUGAUGAGGACAUCAAUACCAUUGUUACACCCACAGCCCCUACUGCUACAUAUACGGAACCAAUUACUAGAGCUCGCGCACGCCAAUUAAAUUAUCAGGUACUUUCGUUUCUUGGUAAUGAUUCUAAUGUUCAUGAGAAUAUGAUGCUGCCUAAAUUGGAUACAUUUGUUUUGCUUACAAAUGAAGGGCCUAGCUUGGAGAAGGAUGAACAUUGGAGCAAGAACAAGCAUGGAGAUGAUGCCAUGCGCAAGGGGAACAAGAACGGAGUUACAAGUGAUGAUUUCAGGACUUUGAAGCCACCAUAAUGGGUGCAUGAAGCCUUGGGCGAAAUAUACAAGAUGCCACUUCAUAAAUUUCGUCCUGAGGCUAUUAUAGGUGCCGCGUCACCUUUUUAUUGGGCCAGGCCCAUGUAAUUUCGAAAUACAUAAGUAUAGGCUAUUUUUAGAGUCCGUAUGUGUGGGGAAACAAGAGAUAGGGUUGAUUUCGGACCCCUCCACCAAGGGCCACGAAAUUCCCCCUCUCUUCCUCCAUAUAUACAGCCCUUAGGGCACCGUUUAGACUUUGGGUUUUGUUUAGAUUAAAAGUUCGCCAUAGCUGCAACUUCGCGUACUUCGUUUGUGUUCAACGACCAGACAAAGGCGUCACAGAACCCCACCUUGAUCAAUAAAGCUUUCAUCUUAUAUUCGCAAUAUCCAGAUUGCAAUCUUAGUUUCUUGCUUGUUCUUCGUUUGCUCGCAGGAAACAGACCCUCGUGGUCAGGUUGAUCGUGCUCCGGCGUGGUCAAUAACCUCUCGGAGUUGGUUUAGCGAUUGCUAAGGCGCGACGUCCUCGCACGUUCGUAGUCGGAUCGUCAAAGUCGACUUCCACCAAAGCGAUAUCCAUCAUCUCAUCGAAAGACGGGACACCUCCGCAUCAAUACAAUUGUUACACCCACAGCCCCUGCUGCUAUACAUACUGGACCAAUUACUAGAGCUCGUGCACGCCAACUAAAUUACCAGGUACUCUCGUUUCUUGGUAAUGAUUCUAAUGUUCAUGAGAAUAUGAUGCUGCCUAAAUUGGAUACAUUUGUUUUGCUUACAAAUGAAGGGCCUAGCUUGGAGAAGGAUGAACAUUGGAGCAAGAACAAGCAUGGAGAUGAUGGCAUGCGCAAGGAGAACAAGAACGGAGUUACAAGUGAUGAUUUCAGGACUUUGAAGCCACCAUAAUGGGUGCAUGAAGCCUUGGACGAAAUAUACAAGAUGCCACUUCAUAAAUUUCGUCCCGAGGCUAUUUUAGGUGCUGCGUCACCUUAUUAUUGGGCCAGGCCCAUGUAAUUUCGAAAUACAUAAGUAUAGGCUAUUUUUAGAGUUCGUAUGUGUGGGGAAACAAGAGAUAGGGUUGAUUUCGGACCCCUCCACCAAGGGCCACGAAAUUCCCCCCUCUUCCUCCAUAUAUACAGCCCUUAGGGCAUCGUUUAGACUUUGGGUUUUGUUUAGAUUAAAAGUUCGCCAUAGCUGCAACUUUGCGUACUUCGUUUGUGUUCAACGACCAGACAAAGGCGUCACAGAACCCCACCUUGAUCAAUAAAGCUUUCAUCUUAUAUUCGCAAUAUCCAGAUUGCAAUCUUAGUUUCUUGCUUGUUCUUCGUUUGCUCGCAGGAAACAGACCCUCGUGGUCAGGUUGAUCGUGCUCCGGCGUGGUCAAUAACCUCUCGGAGUUGGUUUAGCGAUUGCUAAGGCGUGACGUCCUCGCACGUUCGUAGUCGGAUCGUCAAAGUCGACUUCCACCAAAGCGAUAUCCAUCAUCUCAUCGAAAGACGGGACACCUUUGCCUCUAUCAAGUGGUAUCAGAUUUCCAGGUUGCUCGGUGAGAUUUUACAGUUUUUCGUAGUUUAGAUCGAGUCUGUUCUUCAUACCUAUAGUCCACGAAAAAGCCAAAAAAAAAUUAGGGUUAGUUCAUCCCAUCCGAACCAAUCUGAGCCUUUGCAUAAUCUUUUCUGUAUUUGCUUUGUUGAAUUUGCGGUUGCAUCGUCGUGUCAAGUUGCUGGUCUUAGCGUCUAGUCUUUUAGAGUUUCGAGUUCUGUUCACAGGUUGUCACGUCGCCGCUGCCAUAUACCACCACCACAUAUUCACCGCCAAUCCGAAUCCAUAUACGCCACCACAUAUCCGCCGCCAUCACGCCCAUCCGAGUCCACCUGCAACAUAUAUCCGCCACCAAUCCGAGUUCCACCAGAUUCAUCUCCGCCACCAGUCCGAGUUCCACCAGUUUCAUCUCCGCCACCAGUCCUAGUCCGAGUCCAGUAAUCAUUGCAUUGUUCUCGAUUUCCAGAUCACGCGAUACUCCGAGUCGUGACAGCGAAGGACUCCCCA